GACGAACGCUGGCGGCGCGCUUAACACAUGCAAGUCGAGCGAGAACCCAGGCUUCGGCCUGGGGGAAAGCGGCGAACGGGUGAGUAACACGUGGGUAAUCUGCCCUCGGCAUCGGGAUAGCCCGGGGAAACCCGGAUUAAUACCGAAUGGCCCAGCAGCUCUUCGGGGCGGCUGGAAAAGGUAGCUUCGGCCUCCGGCCGAGGAGGAGCCCGCGGCGGAUUAGCUUGUUGGUGGGGUAACGGCCUACCAAGGCUCCGAUCCGUAGCUGGUCUGAGAGGACGAUCAGCCACACUGGGACUGAGACACGGCCCAGACUCCUACGGGAGGCAGCAGUGGGGAAUCUUGCGCAAUGGGCGAAAGCCUGACGCAGCGACGCCGCGUGAGGGAAGAAGGCCUUCGGGUUGUAAACCUCUUUCAGGAGGGACGAAGCCACUCGGGUUAAUAGCCCAGAGGGUGACGGUACCUCCAGAAGAAGCCCCGGCUAACUACGUGCCAGCCGCCGCCGUAAUAC
rnacentral:rRNA from 1 species